rnacentral:rRNA from 1 species
UACAGAGGUCUCAAGCGUUGUUCGGAAUUACUGGGCGUAAAGGGCUCGUAGGUGGCCAACUAAGUCAGACGUGAAAUCCCUCGGCUUAACCGGGGAACUGCGUCUGAUACUGGAUGGCUUGAGUUUGGGAGAGGGAUGCGGAAUUCCAGGUGUAGCGGUGAAAUGCGUAGAUAUCUGGAGGAACACCGGUGGCGAAGGCGGCAUCCUGGACCAACACUGACGCUGAGUGAGCGAAAGCCAGGGGAGCAAACGGG